AGAGUUUGAUCCUGGCUCAGGGUGAACGCUGGCGGCGUGCUUUAAGCAUGCAAGUAGAACGAUCCUGAGAGCAAUCGAAGGAGAGUUGCGAACGGCUGAGUACAAGAUAAGAAUCUACCUCUUGGUGGGGAAUACCCCCGUGAAAGCGGGGCUAAUACCGCAUAACAUCUCCGGAUAAAAGGGCAUAACUGCCCGCCGGGAGAGGAGCUUAUCUCCCAUCAGGUAGUUGGUAGGGUAAUGGCCUACCAAGCCUACGACGGGUAGGGGGUGUGAGAGCAUGACCCCCCAGAAUGGGACUGAGACACGGCCCAUACACCUACGGGUGGCAGCAACUGGGAAUCGUACGCAAUGGACGAAAGUCUGACGUCGCGACGCCGCGUGAGGGAUGAAGGCCUUAGGGUCGUAAACCUCUUUUGCCGUAGUGGAGACACUACGGAGAAUAAGUACCCGCUAAUCUCGUGCCAGCAGCUGCGGUAAUACGAGAGGUACAAGCGUUACCCGGAUUUAUUGGGCGUAAAGUGUUCCGUAGGCGACUCAUCGCAUCUUCUUUCAAAUACCAGAGCUCAACUUUGGGAAGGGAGAAGAGAUGGAUGGGAUUGAAAUAUUCGGGGGCUACUGNAACUAUCGGUGUAGGAGUGAAAUUCCGUUGAUAUUUAUAGGAACUCCAAGGGCGAAAGCAGGUAAGCUACGAAUUAUUUUGACGCCUGAGGGACC
rnacentral:rRNA from 1 species